rnacentral:lncRNA from 1 species
CUGCUGCGGUCGGCGGGGCUGGGAGCGGGGCGCAGGAGCGAGCAGAGAGACUGAGGGCUCUCCCCACCCACUGGGGGUUCCCCGCGGGACGCGGCUCAUUCUGCAAGCCCGAGGCUUCCAGCCGCGCGGGAUCGUGCCUGCGGAGGGUCGGGCAACGACCUGCCCUAAAGAGCUGGAUGGACCCAGUAGCCGCCCAAACUGGGUACGAGCGCUCAGACGCAGAAAUGGGAACAAAGCUUCCAGAAGGGCAGAGCCCUAAGUGGCCGCGCCCCGCCCAGCCGCGGGGGCCACUGAUAGCGGUGGCCCCCUGCGCCUAUCCGCGGCCAGGCCCUGCCUUCUGGAAACGCCCCUGAGAGAUGAGCUCAUGCCAGAUGCGCGCGCUCCUUGGCGCCUCUGCCCAGGCUGAACGGGACCCAAAAGCAGAAUUAUAGAAUACCCAUAAACACAAGGACAAAUGGCACUGUGAUCCAAGUCUUUGUAUCAAGC